rnacentral:rRNA from 1 species
CCUACGGGUGGCAGCAGUGAGGAAUAUUGGUCAAUGGCCGGAAGGCUGAACCAGCCAUGCCGCGUGAAGGUCAGUGCCCUUUGGGCGUUAAACUUCUUUUGUGCGGGAGCAAUAAUGGUCACGUGUGGCCAAACGAGAGUACCGUACGAAUAAGCAUCGGCUAACUCCGUUCCGGCAGCCGCGGUAAGACGGGGGAUGCAAGCGGUAUCCGGGUUUAUUGGGGGUAAAGGGUGCGUAGCCGGGUUGACAAGUCAGAUGUGAAAUCCUGCGGCUUAACCGCAGAACUGCAUUGGAAACUGGUGAUCUUGAGUGCUGGAGAGGUAGAUGGAAUGCAUGGUGUAGCGGUGAAAUGCGUAGAUAUUAGGAGGAACACCAGUGGCGAAGGCGGUCUGCUGGACGGCAACUGACGGUGAGGCGCGAAAGCGUGGGGAGCAAACAGGAUUAGAUACCCCUGUAGUC